rnacentral:rRNA from 2 species
UCAUUAAAUCAGUUAUCGUUUAUUUGAUAGUACCUUACUACAUGGAUACCUGUGGUAAUUCUAGAGCUAAUACAUGCUAAAAACCUCGACUUCGGAAGGGGUGUAUUUAUUAGAUAAAAAACCAACGCCCUUCGGGGCUCCUUGGUGAAUCAUAAUAACUAAGCGAAUCGCAUGGCCUUGCGCCGGCGAUGGUUCAUUCAAAUUUCUGCCCUAUCAACUUUCGAUGGUAGGAUAGUGGCCUACCAUGGUGGCAACGGGUAACGGGGAAUUAGGGUUCGAUUCCGGAGAGGGAGCCUGAGAAACGGCUACCACAUCCAAGGAAGGCAGCAGGCGCGCAAAUUACCCAAUCCCGACACGGGGAGGUAGUGACAAUAAAUACUGAUACGGGGCUCUUUUGGGUCUCGUAAUUGGAAUGAGUACAAUUUAAAUCCCUUAACGAGGAACAAUUGGAGGGCAAGUCUGGUGCCAGCAGCCGCGGUAAUUCCAGCUCCAAUAGCGUAUAUUAAAGUUGUUGCAGUUAAAAAGCUCGUAGUUGAACCUUGGGUCUGGCUGGCCGGUCCGCCUCACCGCGAGUACUGGUCCGGCUGGACCUUUCCUUCUGGGGAACCUCAUGGCCUUCACUGGCUGUGGGGGGAACCAGGACUUUUACUGUGAAAAAAUUAGAGUGUUCAAAGCAGGCCUUUGCUCGAAUACAUUAGCAUGGAAUAAUAGAAUAGGACGUGCGGUUCUAUUUUGUUGGUUUCUAGGACCGCCGUAAUGAUUAAUAGGGAUAGUCGGGGGCGUCAGUAUUCAGCUGUCAGAGGUGAAAUUCUUGGAUUUGCUGAAGACUAACUACUGCGAAAGCAUUCGCCAAGGAUGUUUUCAUUAAUCAGGGAACGAAAGUUAGGGGAUCGAAGACGAUCAGAUACCGUCGUAGUCUUAACCAUAAACUAUGCCGACUAGGGAUCGGGCGGUGUUUCUAUAAUGACC